rnacentral:rRNA from 1 species
UGGCCUUGACAUGUCCGGAAUCCUGCCGAGAUGCGAGAGCGCCUUCGGCAAUCAUAACAC